rnacentral:rRNA from 1 species
ACUCCCGUAUGUCUAUUCUAGAGAUAGAAGUUACUUCGGUACAUCGGUGACAGGUGGUGCAUGGUUGUCGUCAGCUCGUGUCGUGAGAUGUUGGGUUAAGUCCCGCAACGAGCGCAACCCCUAUUGUUAGUUGCCAUCAUUCAGUUGGGCACUCUAGCGAGACUGCCGGUAAUAAACCGGAGAAGUGGGGAUGACGUCAAAUCAUCAUGCCCCUUAUGACCUGGGCUACACACGUGCUACAAUGGUUGGUACAACGAGUUGCGAGUCGGUGACGGCGAGCUAAUCUCUUAAAGCCAAUCUCAGUUCGGAUUGUAGGCUGCAACUCGCCUACAUGAAGUCGGAAUCGCUAGUAAUCGCGGAUCAGCACGCCGCGGUGAAUACGUUCCCGGGCCUU